rnacentral:rRNA from 1 species
GAUGAACGCUAGCGGCAGGCUUAAUACAUGCAAGUCGAGGGGCAGCAUGAUUGUAGCAAUACAAUUGAUGGCGACCGGCAAACGGGUGCGGAACACGUACACAACCUUCCAACAAGUGGGGGAUAGCCCAGAGAAAUUUGGAUUAAUACCCCGUAACAUAGCGAUGUGGCAUCACAUUGCUAUUAUAGAUUUUUCGCUUGUUGAUGGGUGUGCGGCUGAUUAGAUAGUUGGCGGGGUAACGGCCCACCAAGUCUACGAUCAGUAGCUGAUGUGAGAGCAUGAUCAGCCACACGGGCACUGAGACACGGGCCCGACUCCUACGGGAGGCAGCAGUAAGGAAUAUUGGACAAUGGACGCAAGUCUGAUCCAGCCAUGCCGCGUGAAGGAUUAAGGUCCUCUGGAUUGUAAACUUCUCUUAUAAGGGACGAAAAAAGGCUUUUCUAAGUCGUCUGACGGUACCAGAGGAAUAAGCACCGGCUAACUCCGUGCCAGCCGCCGCCGUAACAC